AUAAUAAUAAUAAUAAUAAUAUUUAUACCCCGACCAUCUGGCUGAGUUUCCCCAGCCGCUCUGGGCGACUUCUAAUCGAGUGUUAAAAACAAUACAGCAUUAAAUAUUAAAAACUUCCCUAAACAGGGCUGCCUUCAGAUGUCUUUGAAAGAUAAGAUAGUUCACAUCUGAAGGGAGGGCAUUCCACAGGGCGGGCGCCACUACCAAAAGGCCCUCUGCCUGGUUCCCUGUAAGCUCACUUCUCGCAAUGAGGGAACCGCCAGAAGGCCCUCGGCGCUGGAUCUCAGUGUCCAACAGAUAUCUAUCUUGCUAAAUUUGCACCCCAAAAGGUGGAACACAAGGCAGCUGCUAGCCUGAUGUUGACCUUCCACUCACCCGUCAGGAUGACCAAGGCCAGUGUGAGGACGAAGAACUUCAUGGUGCUUUGGCGGAGAGUCCUGAGAACCUGCUGGGAUGAUGGGUGAUCUCCUGCAUUCUGCUGACGACGGCACUGUGUAGGAUUGCUGCGUACGGACCCACCUUCUCUAGAACUGGAUCGACGUAACCCACCAGGGCAGAAUGCAAUGCUUCACCGAGCUCUUCUUGGUACCGCCCUCGAUAGCUUUGCAGGGCAAAUAGAUAUCUGACAGCCUUCUCUGAAACAACUGAUGGCACCUCGAUAAACAUCUCCAGACUCUGCACGACCUCAGCAGGUAACUCUUCAUGCAGGGCAUACAAGCGCAUCCCAAUAUUUCCCCAAUAGGCAGAUUUAAUCAGGUUACUAUGGGGGGGGAGAACAGAUGAUUGGGAAGGUUUAAGAAGGAAAAGGGGGAGUUAGGAAUCAUCCACAUAUAUUCUUGUCCCACUGUUUCCCCCCCUGAAAAACCCACUGUUCGACACUGAAUCAGAGCAAGCGCCAAUAGUUUAUUUUUGCGGAUUGAUGUUCUGAUUCAUCAGUAAGCAGUGGGUUUUUCUGGG
rnacentral:lncRNA from 1 species